UGGUCCAGGGACUCCAUGGUUCCCUCAGGAUCUUUCUCCUGCAUUUUGUUGCAGACCACAAUGCACCGCUCGCGGCGUCGGUUGCCCCGGCAAUGGGCCCCACGCGGCGAGGCCCACACACACACACCCAGAAGGUGGAGCCCCGGCCCGGUUGCGAGGACCACCCAGCUGUCUGGAGAGAUGAAGAAAAUGAGGUUCAAAGAGAUGAAGUCCCUUACCUAAAGUCACAGUGAUAGAAAGUGACAGAGCUGGGAUUUGAAUCCUGAUCUGACUCCACAGUCCCACAUGGUAGGUGGAACCUCUGAGCUACACCUAAACAAAGAGAGCUGAUGCCUCAGAACAGAGUGAUGUCCCUGGAGACACUAAGCAUCCUCGGUGCCUGGUGAGAGCUCCCUAAAUACAUGUGGGUGCAUGGAUGGAUGGAUGGAUGAAUGGAUGGAUGGAUGGAUGGAAGAAAGCAUGGAUAGUUCAGACUACUUCAGCCUUGAUUCCUCAGCAACAAACACCUCAAACUUGACCCUACAUUGGUCCUUGGCUGUCGUGAUCUUCCUUGGACAGAAUCACCUUUCAACUCCAGUCAUCAGACUUUCCCAGGGCCCUCAGAAAGCCCUUCAGAGUUGUUACUCACAGGCAGGCUGAGGGAUUCUUUGGGGAUCUGCAGCUCUCCUCACCUCAUCCACAAGUAGGACCAUGGCCUGUGCCUCACUGCCCCAGGAUCACUCUGUUCCCAGCCCAGUCCAGCAAUCACUUGUCUAGCUUUCUGGGACCUGAGUACUUUCUUGGACCAUGAGUCCUGUGACCACCCUAGCAGCUCUAACCCUCCCUUACCUGAAAGGAAGUGUGAAGUGACCUUGCAGGCCCCAGAGUGGAUUGAAGACCCCGUCCAGAAAGGAGGCACCAUGUGGGAGAGAAUGUAAGGCCUAGGUCUGAAUCCGGAAGCUUCCACCCCAUGGAGAAGGGCUGGCACCAGCCGGGGGCUGGCAGAGGAGCUGAGCUUUGGAGCCAAGGACUGUACUGCAGUGCCGGGAGAGUAAGGCCAGAAAGGCUGAGACAACUCAGGGAAAGAAAACCUCCUUUCUGGCUAAUAGCCAAGCAUCACCUGCGUAGACCGACACUCUGCUGUCCACAGGGGCAGCAGACGAAGACACAUUCAGAGAGGACUAACAGGCCCCCUCACCUCCCAGUCAGAGGGCAGAGAAACCCAGAACAGACGUUAAAGGAACAGACUUUGAGGCCAGGCAGCCUUGGGUGUUCAUCUGUCCCUACUAAGCCAUGUGACAUUAGGCAAGUGAGUCCACCUC